CCCAGCUCCGAAAAAUAGAAAAAAAAAUAUUUAAAAGGCUGCCACAGGGGAGAUUAAUACUACUAAUCCACAGGCCCGUGUAGACAGAAGUAUAAAUAAGGUAGAAUAUUUGAAAGCAUCAAUUAGCAUUUUCAACAAGUUCCCAGCAGUGCCGAGACUGCUGGUUUGAAGUCUUGUACUUUGCCGACAUUCCAAUUAGGACAAAGUGAGGAAGGCAGCUAGACAAUUCAUUUCAAAGUUUCAGGUGUUGGAAUGGUGUGUGACAAAGCACAGCUGUCUUGAGACCUCUCUGCAUAAGCAAGUCUGUCCGAUCCUCUCACCUUCUCCCUGCUACUUCACCUCAGAACCAUCCUUCCUAACUAAUGCUGGCUUCCUUUUGCUCCUGUUUGGAAGGUACCCGAUUGGGAGGAUGGGCUGUAGCAAUCUGGGGAUGCUGGCCUUAGGCUUAUUUUCCUUGUCUGUCAGUGUGAGGUACAUUCUCAUUUUAAGAACCUCAUCUCUUGCAACGUGAAUUUUUUUGAUUAGCACCAUGAAAAAAUGUUUAACUAUAACCUUGUAAGUUAGAUUACUUUAAGGACAAAGGUGGCUAAAUUUUACUUCUUUUUUAGUUUGUAGAGGGCCUAUAAAUAUCUCCUUGUUUAUUAUUUCACAAAUAUACGCAACUUCCACUCAUUACUGUGCUAUUGAAUUAUGCUCAGGGGCUGAGGGUUGAUUUAAAUAACUGUGAAUUGCACCAUGAAUUAAUUGGCUUUCUA
rnacentral:lncRNA from 1 species